ACAAGGUUCUAUGUCUCUGUGUAUCCACCUGUAUACACUCUCCCCAGGAUGGAACAAAAAAAGGGGGGAGAGAUCAACAGGUGCCCCACAGGGACUAGUGUACCGAAGCGAGAUUCCAGGUAUCUCAGAGGGGCUUAACCCCAAGUAAACAAACAAUGCAACAAAAAAAUUACAAAAUGCAGUCUGUCUCAGAGUGUACUUGAGAUCAGCUGCAUGGCCUGGAAGUAUAUAUAACGGUAUAGUGUACUACGAACCCUGGC